rnacentral:tRNA from 1 species
GGAGGGAUGGCUGAGCGGUUGAAAGCACUGGUCUUGAAAACCAGCGUAGGCUAAUACCCUACCCAGGGUUCGAAUCCCUGUCCCUCCG